UUCUAGAUAUUUGUCCUAAAACAGACUCAUAUGCAUUGGAAUUGCCAUUUAUACAAGAUUAGUCAUUACAUCAAGGUUGUAGUAGCAAAGUCUGGAAAGAACCUAAAAGAAAAUUAAUACGGAGGUGACAUGAUAAAUCCUACUCACUCAUGCAAGUCUCAAAAAGAGAACCAACGGAAGUCCACCUUCAUGUGGAAAGGAUCCAAAUUUACCUCUACUUACUGCCACAGGGCAAUCUGGAUCUACCAGUUUACUGUCAGAGUUUGGUCAGAGGAGUUUGGAUUUGAUGGAGGUCCCAAGGUGAUAAUAUACAAUAUUGAUGAUCUUAUGAUAAUAUUGAAAACCUAAGAACAAGCUAGGACUGACUUGAAUGUUAUCGUGACUCAUGUGAACAACGAAGGGAGGUUAAUAAACCCAACAAAGAUCAAAGGACCCACCCAACCAAGCAACAUUCUUAAUCUGGUCAGGAGCCACCCAGGACAUUUCACAAGUGACUGAAAAAAAAACUGCUGCUAUUUGUUACCCACCCCUAAGACCAAACAAGGAGUCCACAUUUCUUUGGUUUAUCUGAAUUUUGGAGAACACAUAUUCCUCACCUAGAAAUAUUGCUAGUUCCUGAAGACUUCCUGAGAGAAGGCUAUGUCUGAGUGGGGAAAUGAACAAAAGCAAGCCACAUCUCAGUUAUAUAAAGGGAUAACUCUCAGUGCUUUUAAGCCCUAUGAUCCCUGCUCAGAUAUAAUUUUAGAGGUGUCUGCCACUGGACAUGCAGAGUGGAGCCUAUGGUGAAAGCCUGUAUCUGCCUCCCAAUGACAACCAUUGAAUUUUGGACCUGAAAAUUCUACAUGCUGCUGCUUAAUACUCAGCAUUUGAGAGAUAAUUACUAGCUUGCUAUUGGGCAUUUGAGACUGCCUGUAUGGCUGAAGGACAUGAAAUAACCACGAAACCUGAGAUACCCAUAAUGUCUUGGGUGAUGUCAGAGAAAUGCUCUAAUAAGGACAAUAGGGCCCCAAGGAGUUCCAGAAAAAAAUGGCAACAGUUUCUACAGGAACAUGCUGUUAGGGGAAUUGAGGAGUCAUCCACCUGUAUGCAUAGGAGGUAGUCUUUUUUCCCAGACUUUGGAACCACCUCAGGAGCUGCCAAAACCUGUCACCACAUGAACAGUACCCUAUGAAUACCACUCAAUUGACUAACCAAGAACUGCUUGGUUUAUGAGACAGUUCCAAGGAGAAUGAAUACUAUACUGUUUGCAAAGCUGCAACAUUAAUACCAGCAGAAGGAAAGACCCUAAAGAAGGUAAGAAUAAAUCAGCUCAAUUAGCUAAACUGGAUGCUCUUUUCAUAGCAGUAAUGGAAGACUUGAAUAAAGGUAAAAUCCUUGAGUUUUUACCAAUUCAUGGGCAGGAGCCAGUGCUGGUCAAGUAAAUAAACAGUGGAAAAGUGGACUCUUAAAUGGAUGCCUAUGUAAGAUACAGCCCUCUAGAAAUUGCUGUGGAAAUUUAAGGGAUGUGUUAAAGGAAUACAUGUUGAUGCCCAUCAGAAGAAUUCUUUCCCAGAUUCGAAAGAUGAUUGGGAACCCCCAAAUGGACCUUCUGAUGCUCUCCCUUGAAGUGACUAUCUGGGUCCUUGGAUUGAAAGGGAAUGGCGGUGCUAUAGCAGGCAGAGGUGAGCUGAAUCUACAUAUUCCUCUUACAUCUUCCGAGUCACAAAACACCAAGAACUGUUCUGUCUGCCAAUAAGUGAGGCUGCAAAUGGCUAUGGGGAAAACUCCCCAGGAGAAAGGCCCCACCCAUAGCUGAGCAUAUUGCCAUGUGGCUCCAUGCUACACCGGGUGGAUGGAUGGAUGGAUUUCUCUGCUUUCAAAGAAGAGCUAAUUAGAAGUCUUUUCUAAUUAACCCCAUACACAAGAGAGAGACAGUCUUCUCUACAUUGGAAAAGUUCUUUACUUACCAAGAACCAAGUCUGGCCACCUAGGAUCACAGAAUCACAGAGAAAAGACCCCGAAUAAGACAAAGGGGUCAGAAGCAAGUGUCCUGUCUACCACUUCUCAAGAUUAAAGCCCCUGAUGGUGAAGGAGUGUGAAGAACAAUAAAAAAAAAACAACAUGGCGUUGGAGUUAAUGUAAAGGGAGAGCUUUGUUCUUGCACACCUAUCAUCACUAAGGCAAGUGGCAAGAUCCUGAGAGAAUGCCUUCAUUGAUCCUGGCACCCACAUUAAGGUGGCCAUGGCUAAGGGCAGUGAACAACACUGCUGUGCUCCCCGUCGUGAGAAGAAAGGACUCAAAGAUAGACCAGAAAAGGCCUGGGCUGCUGAUUAGGGCCAAGAGCUUAGAAACAAAGCCAAGACUAAAGAACCAGCCAGCAGGUGCUACAUACAUCAGCAAAGACCAAAAACCAGUGGCCCAUCCUUGCCCCAUACACUCCCUCCUGCCCCCAGAAGACUUUUUGAGAGUCAGAAGAAACCUUUGAGAGAGGGGAAAAUAAUGUUGAUGAGCAGUUCUGUCUUUGAACUUAAUACUAACCCCAAAGAGAUUGAGUUAACCCCAGAGAGAAUAACUAAAUUUUUUUUAAAAAAUUAAUUAAAA